UACGUAGGGUGCGAGCGUUAAUCGGAAUUACUGGGCGUAAAGAGCGUGUAGGCGGUCCGGUAAGUCCGCUGUGAAAGUCGGGGGCUCAACCCUCGAAUGCCGGUGGAUACUGUCGGGCUAGAGUGCGGAAGAGGCGAGUGGAAUUCCUGGUGUAGCGGUGAAAUGCGCAGAUAUCAGGAGGAACACCAACGGCGAAGGCAGCACUCUGGGCCGGUACUGACGCUGAGGAGCGAAAGCGUGGGGAGCAAACAGG
rnacentral:rRNA from 1 species